UAUUUUAAAUCCACAUCCAGCGGCGGUGGUAACGCGCAGAUAAUAUGCCUGCAAUUCAAACGCAACGUCAAAUUCCAAGUAGGCUUGGAUUGUUACGUUCUGCAAGGAUGCAAAUGUUGCAAAGUUGAAAAUCUGAAACAUUUGACGAUUUUUAUUAUUACUGCGACGGUAUAUCGAGAUUUUUAGAUAAACGCAUUCCGUGGAUUUCUCUUGCAGAGCACAAUACUGCAAAAUUUCGAACAAUGCCAAAGUGAAUCAUGAAAGUGCCCAAAUAGAUAUUUACCCUACAUUGAGUGGGAUUUUUACAUUUGUUCUCAGAUGAAUACUCUUUUUCUAUCCAAAUACUUUCAAUAGUUAAAGUAACUAAUUGGGCUCCAUGAUUCACUACCAUCCGGUGUUUUUAUUGACCGAAUUAUCUGAAACUUGGCCGUAAGAUGCACUUGACGGUACAUACUUAUUGUUGCAAAAAAAUGCAAGAAAGGUUCCCUUACUCUAUUCUGUUCAAAUGUUUUAUUCGAUAUACAAGUGUAAACUGAAUUACAUGUCAUUCUUCUAUUACGGGACUUUGUAUGAGAUAUGUUGUGCAUAAUUUUCGAAAUGCUUUCGUGACAAUUUCGCUAUAGAUGUUAAGAUUAUCCCUCUAUCCUUCUCACGUUUAUAUCAGGUUAGUGCUGCUCGUUCUACACACUUAGAUUUUUUCUCGCUGUUCGGUAAUAUUUUUUACCGGAAACGUACUGUAAAUAAAUAUUUAACUGAUGUUUCGGUAUUACAGACGAGAUUUACCGAACACCCUUGAAUAAGCUAAAAAAAUCAAAACAAUAUUUAACAACUUUUACCGAAAUCGUCGUUUUAUUUACCGGAAAACUGUAAAUCGUUCAGAUUCACCGUAGACUGUAAGUUUUUACCGUACUUCAGUUCAUAUUGCUUCAAUACUUUACCGAACGAAUGGUAACUAGAAAUUUCUGAGUCAGCCAUAUUUGUUUAGAAGUGCUAAUCAACACGAUGGUAUCGCAUACGAUACCGUCUAAAACUCUGUCUAUAAACACUGUUUUUGGAAAAAAAAAAACUAUACUACGGCAGGAUGAGCGCCCGGUACUACUUUUCCUAUACAGCAGCCAAAUUAUGUUUCCGGAUGGCAUCGUCGCAUAUCAAGUAUAAACACCCAUAACGGAAUCAGUGGCGGUUUUGUUCAUAAGUGAUAAACAGUUGCAAAGAAGUCAGUUUUUGAUUAAAAAAUGAAUACGCGAAAUAAAUCAAUCAAUCACAUUUGAUAUCAAUAUGCAAUUAAUUGUUUUUAUUUUUUCGAUCAUCCUUUUCUAUUUCGACUGCCUGUUGUUCCGAACAAUGCGUUCGGUAAUUCAUUUAACAAUUCGCUCGGUAAAUCACGAGCAUAUUGUAAUUUUUUGACAGCUGCGAAUCGAUUAAAAUUACGGAUUGUUCGGUAAUUCUUACCGAGCGCUCAGCGGUUUUUAUUUCAGUAAAAAAAUUACCGGAGUCGGUGAUAUUUUCUAAGUGUGUA